UGGACAGAUUAUUGUAUUCGACUGUAUUCAUGGCGUGAAAUAGGGGAUUACACUAUUUUUAAAAUGGAAAGUGAAUCAAUUAAUAUAAUAGACUCCU
rfam:Nicotiana sylvestris Nsyl_contig108912, whole genome shotgun sequence.